GUUGGGGAACUAAGAUCCCACAGGCUGCACAACACAGCCAAAAAGAAGAAAACAGGUACUUAAAUGGCUGUGUCUUCCUUCAUCGUCUGGCUGCCAAGGAGUUCAGAGCUAACUUUAAGGUCAGCUCUAGCAACAAAGUGGGUUCACAGCCUCUGCACCCCGAGUUCUUUUCUGGCCAUGCCCAAGCUGACAUCGUCGAUCUUCACUUACUUUUUUCAAGCCUUGUUUAUCCAUUAACAUCAUUAUAUUACAGUAAAAUGUAGGAGUGUAUCUUAAACAGGAUUGUAAUUAAUGCAUACACAUAAUUUGGUUCGCUUUUUAGAGAAAGAGAGAAAAGCUCCACACUGGCAAGACAGCUGAGCGCUGUGGUCACAGGCACAGACAUCAAAGGCCCAAGAGUCCUCAUGCAAAUCUCAGCUCUGCCUCUUCUCAUCCAUGUGGCUCCACCUGUAAAACGUCUGUCUGUCUGUAAGAGAGGAAGUACACUGAUGUCUGCAACUGACUCCCAAAAGCAUCCCCAAAAUAAGACAGAGGUGAUGGAUGCAGUGAUAGACUGACAGUAACAUGUUAAUGGGAGAAUCUGAAUGAUUUUUGUUGAGCAUUCCAAAUGACCGUGGAUGGAAAGAAUACAUUUCAGUGGAAGAGGAAGGAAAGAUGGUAGAAUAGAAAAGACAUGAGCACAGUUGAGGAUCAGUUCCCUAUCCUCCAGGACUCACAGACAUUUACAGAUUUAAUUCUACCCGCUCCUCUCAGAGAAGAGGUAAGUGCACAUUUCAUUAAUUUAAAAUAAAAUUUAAAAAUUAAAAAUAUAAAAUAAUUUUUAAAAGUUAAAAACAGUUAAGAAAGUUAAGACCUAACUUCCCACAGAGAAAAGAAUCAAGUCAAUUUGAAAUAGUGUUUUAACUAAGGAUAAAAAUAUCUUGAGCUGCAUUAAAACAAAUAAACCUGCAUCCAGUAGAUUUCAUCCUAUUAAUAUUUCAUGACUAUUUUGAAUUCAUAAAAUACACAGUAGAUAUAUAUGUAAUUAUACUGGGUUGUUAGGAACCAAAAUUUUCAAUGUAAAAUAGAAGCAAAUAUAAAAUCAAAGAAAGUUAAUUAAAAAUCCUAUAAUCAUAAAAUCUCUAUACCUUCCACUCAGUUUUGCUACAAACAUAAAACUGCUCUAAAAAAUAAUAUAACUUAAAGUUUUCCUUUUUCUAAAAAAAUAUUUAUUUCCCAGCAAUAGCCAUAGAAACAGCUUAGAAAUGACAAUAGCCAGUAGCACUUAGCUCAUCUAGUCCCUUUAAGUAUAGUCUCUAAAUAUUUCCCAUUAAAAGAAACCAGCGCUCCUUAAGAAAUUAGUUAAUCCAAGUCUGGGUAGAAUAUAUACAAAAUAGGCCUAAAACAAUCAAUAACUAUUAUCAACAACAAAAUAACAUAGAAGCAAAUUUGAAAGGGCUCCUACUGGCUGAAGAUGGGCUAUUUUGAGCAUCAAAAGAUUUAACAUUUCACUGGAUUGAAACACAUCAGACAUGUAAAAACAGCCAAAUUCAGAAAACUCCUUCCCACGCAAAAGAAAAGCUCUGUGGUCAUCCCUGAAGUUUGCUGGGGUAUCAGUUCAUUAUCCUGAAAACUCAAGAGUGAAGGGGAAGAAUCAGCAUCGCUCUUGCCUUUGCUACAGACUUUUCCAGAAUAACCAAAAAACUGAUGAAGAGAAUUCUUUGUAGAAAAACCAUAGCUAGUAAAUACAGAAGAAAUGAUGUGAUUAAAAAUCUUCAUUUUGGGGGCUGAUGGCCUAAUUAUACCUCUUUUUGGUCACACUGUGUGACUUGUGGGAUCUUAGUUCCCCAACCAGGUCUGGGCCCUCAGGAGCAAGAGCUCAGAGUCUUAACCACUGGACUGCCAGGGACUUCCCAGAAUUAUAUUUCUAAGUGCCACAGAAAUUCCUUCAAAAUACAAAACUGAGGUAAAAGAAGCUUCCGUUGUCUCUUGAAUACAUUAAAGCCAACUAAUUAUUCCUAGAAGGUCUACUUGGUAUUCUGGCCUACUAAAUACAUUCUGUAUUAAAUGUAUCAAACUUAAAAAACCACCAUUUUACAAUCCCUACUAAUGACUUCAGGCAACAAUCAUCAAUGACUCCUGAAACCUUAGAUGAAAAGAUGAUGUGGAACUUUCUAGUGGUGGGGCCAAGCUGACAACACCUGAUCAACCUCAGCAUCCCUGAAAACAGUGGAGUCUUCCUUACCAAAAAGGGCAAAAGUUGAACAUGAAUCUGUCCAACUUCUAGCUCUAACUUUAAUAGAUGUCCACCUCUAUCAGUUUACAGAAAAUAUGAAGGACAGUAUAUGUCAAACACCACCACAAAUCCAAAAUGCAGGAAAAUACCAAGAUACAAAUCCGGAUAACCUGAACAAAUAAAUGACACAGAAUAAGAAGAGAAGAUAUCUUAAAGACUUAGAGAGACUUAUGAAAUAUAUAUAAUAUAUGGACCUUGUUUUUAGAUCCUGAUUCAAACAAAAGAACUAUAAAGUGACACAACUCCUCAAGAAAUCAAAGGAAAAAACUAAACCUAAAGCUAACAGGAGGGAGGAAAUAAUACAAAUUAAUGCAGGGAUAAGUGGCUCAGGCAGUA